rnacentral:rRNA from 1 species
UCUGGGAAACUGCCUGAUGGAGGGGGAUAACUACUGGAAACGGUAGCUAAUACCGCAUAACGUCGCAAGACCAAAGAGGGGGACCUUCGGGCCUCUUGCCAUCGGAUGUGCCCAGAUGGGAUUAGCUUGUUGGUGGGGUAAAGGCUCACCAAGGCGACGAUCCCUAGCUGGUCUGAGAGGAUGACCAGCCACACUGGAACUGAGACACGGUCCAGACUCCUACGGGAGGCAGCAGUGGGGAAUAUUGCACAAUGGGCGCAAGCCUGAUGCAGCCAUGC